UACGUAGGGUCCGAGCGUUGUCCGGAAUUAUUGGGCGUAAAGAGCUCGUAGGCGGUCUGUCGCGUCGGUUGUGAAAACCUGGGGCUCAACUCCAGGCCUGCAAUCGAUACGGGCAGACUAGAGUUCGGUAGGGGAGACUGGAAUUCCUGGUGUAGCGGUGAAAUGCGCAGAUAUCAGGAGGAACACCGGUGGCGAAGGCGGGUCUCUGGGCCGAAACUGACGCUGAGGAGCGAAAGCGUGGGGAGCAAACAGG
rnacentral:rRNA from 1 species